rnacentral:rRNA from 1 species
GACGUAGGGCGCGAGCGUUGUCCGGAUUUAUUGGGCGUAAAGAGCUCGUAGGCGGCUUGUCGCGUCGACUGUGAAAACCCGUGGCUCAACCAUGUGGUCUGCAGUCGAUACGGGCAGGCUAGAAUUCGGUAGGGGAGACUGGAAUUCCUGGUGUAGCGGCGAAAUGCGCAGAUAUCAGGAGGAACACCGGUGGCGAAGGCGGGUCUCUGGGCCGAUAUUGACGCUGAGGAGCGAAAGCGUGGGGAGCGAACAGG